UGGGGAAUUUUGGACAAUGGGGGCAACCCUGAUCCAGCCAUGCCGCGUGAAGGAUGAAGUAUUUCGGUAUGUAAACUUCGUAAGAAUAGGAAGAAUAAAUGACGGUACUAUUUGUAAGGUCCGGCUAACUACGUGCCAGCAGCCGCGGUAAUACGUAGGGACCAAGCGUUGUUCGGAUUUACUGGGCGUAAAGGGCGCGUAGGCGGUGUGUCAAGUCAGUUGUGAAAUCUCCGAGCUUAACUCGGAACGGUCAACUGAUACUGUCACACUAGAGUACAGAAGGGGCAAUCGGAAUUCUUGGUGUAGCGGUGAAAUGCGUAGAUAUCAAGAGGAACAUCAGUGGCGAAGGCGGCCUCUGGUCCAGUACUGACACUCAAGUGCGAAAGCGUGGGGAGCAAACAGGAUUAGAUACCCCCGUAGUCCCUGAGCGGGCUGGCAAGGCGCAU
rnacentral:rRNA from 1 species